rnacentral:sRNA from 1 species
CAUACCAGACGGCUGGAGUGCUCUUU